CCAGCGGAAGGAUCAUUACCGAGACUUUUACCGAGCGGCCCGGGACCGUCUCCGCACGGCCCGGUCCGUUCGGGCGUUUUUGUCGCCCUACCCCAUGUGAAUUUGCAGCCCGUGUUGCCUCGGCGGUUGCCCUGAGCCCUGAUCGCGCUCGAAUUUAUUCCGCGCGUGCGCGAGUGCGCGACGCGAGAUGCCUUAGUGGUCAAUCCCCCCGCCGAGUGCUGUUCCCGUUGGACAAUUCGUGUCGCGAUUAGUUGUAUCCUGUCUGAGGUUAGUACAAACAUAGCGAAAUAAAGCAAAACUUUCAACAACGGAUCUCUUGGUUCCGGCAUCGAUGAAGAACGCAGCGAAAUGCGAUAAGUAAUGUGAAUUGCAGAAUUCAGUGAAUCAUCGAAUCUUUGAACGCAUAUUGCGCCCCUUGGAAUUCCGAUGGGCAUACCUGUUCGAGCGUCAUUGGCACUCUGUUCCAGCCGGCGCUGGGCCUUGGGCGGUGCGGUUCGGAUGGCGAGAAGCCCCUUUCGGGGUGUUCGUUUGCCCCACUCUGCAUGCCUGAAAGUGAACGUCAACCCGUUGCCCGGGGGCAUCGAGCGCAGUAAAACUCCAGUGUGGAUCUCGCUCGGCCAGCCAUCCACGACGCGGUUCGACCUUGGGCAGGCUGUUCGGCAGCCUGUCCGCCUUAUCAUCCAUGUAGACCUCGAAUCAGGUAAGGAUACCCGCUGAACUUAAGC
rnacentral:rRNA from 1 species